rnacentral:rRNA from 1 species
CGAGCGUUAAUCGGAAUUACUGGGCGUAAAGCGCAUGCAGGCGGCCUGUUAAGUCAGAUGUGAAAGACCCGGGGCGUUAACCUCCGGAAUUGCAUUUGAAACUAGGCAGGCUAGAGUCUUGUAGAGGGGGGUAGGAAUUUCAGGUGUAGCGGUGAAAUGCGUAGAGAUCUGAAGGAAUACCAGUGGCGAAGGCGGCCCCCCUCGGACAAAGACUGACGCUCAGAUGCGAAAGCGUGGGGGAGCAAACAGGAUUAGAUACCCCUGGUAG